rnacentral:rRNA from 1 species
AACGAACGCUGGCGGCAGGCUUAACACAUGCAAGUCGGGCGCCCCGCAAGGGGAGCGGCAGACGGGUGAGUAACGCGUGGGAAUCUACCCAUCUCUACGGAAUAACGCAUGGAAACGUGUGCUAAUACCGUAUACGUCCUUCGGGAGAAAGAUUUAUCGGAGAUGGAUGAGCCCGCGUUGGAUUAGCUAGUUGGUGGGGUAAAGGCCUACCAAGGCGACGAUCCAUAGCUGGUCUGAGAGGAUGAUCAGCCACACUGGGACUGAGACACGGCCCAGACUCCUACGGGAGGCAGCAGUGGGGAAUAUUGGACGAUGGGCGCAAGCCUGAUCCAGCCAUGCCGCGUGAGUGAUGAAGGCCCUAGGGUUGUAAAGCUCUUUCACCGGUGAAGAUAAUGACGGUAACCGGAGAAGAAGCCCCGGCUAACUUCGUGCCAGCCGCCGCGGUAACAC